rnacentral:rRNA from 1 species
UACGGAGGAUCCGAGCGUUAUCCGGAUUUAUUGGGUUUAAAGGGUGCGUAGGCGGCCUAUUAAGUCAGGGGUGAAAGACGGUAGCUUAACUAUCGCAGUGCCUUUGAUACUGAUAGGCUUGAAUGUACUUGAGGUAGGCGGAAUGUGACAAGUAGCGGUGAAAUGCAUAGAUAUGUCUCAGAACACCAAUUGCGAAGGCAGCUUACUAAAGUAUGAUUGACGCUGAGGCACGAAAGCGUGGGGAUCAAACAGG